UUUAAUGGCCGCAGUAAUUUAACUGUGCGAAGGUAGCAUAAUCAAUAGUUUUUUAAUUGAAAGCUUGUAUGAAGGGUUGGACGAGAUAAUAUCUGUCUUUAUUAUAAUUAUAUUAGAAUUUAAUUUUUAAGUUAAAAAGCUUAAAUUUUUUUAAAAGACGAGAAGACCCUAUAGAGUUUUAUAAAUUUUAUUUUAUAAUUAUUUUAGAUUAAUUAAUUUUAUAAAUUUAAAUUUAUUUUAUUGGGGUAAUGGAAAGAUUUAUUUAAUUCUUUUUUUUUGUAUUAUUUAUUUAUAUAUUAAUGAUCCUUUAUUAAGGAGUACAAGAUUAAAUUACCUUAGGGAUAACAGCGUAAUUUUUUUUGAAAGUUCAUAUUGAUAAAAAAGAUUGCGACCUCGAUGUUGGAUUAAAGAUUAAUUUAGGUGCAAAAGUUUAAAUUUUUGGUCUGUUCGACCAUUAAAUCUUUACAUGAUCUGAGUUCAGACCGGUGUGAGCCAGGUCGGUUUCUAUCUUUAUUUAUUUUUUAUAUUUUAGUACGAAAGGACCAAAUAUUUAUUAUAUUAAUUUUUAUUUUGAAUAUUAUU
rnacentral:rRNA from 1 species